rnacentral:rRNA from 1 species
UACGAAGGGGGCUAGCGUUGCUCGGAAUCACUGGGCGUAAAGCGCACGUAGGCGGAUUGUUAAGUCAGGGGUGAAAUCCCGGAGCUCAACUCCGGAACUGCCUUUGAUACUGGCAAUCUUGAGACUGGAAGAGGUUAGUGGAAUUCCCAGUGUAGAGGUGAAAUUCGUAGAUAUUGGGAAGAACACCAGUGGCGAAGGCGGCUAACUGGUCCAGUACUGACGCUGAGGUGCGAAAGCGUGGGGAGCAAACAGG